UCCCAUCUAUAAGCCAAAACCAAAACCACCAAUUGUGAAGCCUCCUCCAAUUCUACCACCUCCUGUUCCAAUCUACAAACCAAAACCACCAGUUGUGAAGCCUCCUCCAAUCCUACCACCUCCUGUUCCAAUCUAUAAACCAAAACCACCAAUCUUUUAUAAGCCUCACCCUCUAAUCCCAAAGAUCCCUCCAUUUAAGAGGAAGCCAUACCCUCCUCUUCCUAAACUUCCUCCUUUUCCAAAGAUUCCUCCAAAGCCCUACCAUCACCCCAUAUUUGGAAAAUGGCCUCCAUUGCCACCAUUUUCUCCUAUUCAUUAGGCUCUCUAUAUAUUAAUGAUGUAGUACACCUACAAGGUUGAUAUUUAUGACCCUCUAGUGUGAAGUUAUCAGUACCAAAAAUAAAACCUUGAAGGUAGUCGAAUAAUUUCAUGCACAUUUAUUGCCUCAAGAAUGUGUUUUAAUUAAUGGUUUUCUUUACAUUUGUAAAUGUUGCAUCUUUAAUUUGUAUGCCUAUCACUAUUUUUAAUUAAUAAAUUUUAUUAAAAAGUACACUUAUAAAUUUUUUUCAAAAUAACUUUUUCAAAAAUAAACUUAUGGCCUCUAUAACUAUCAUUUUUUACAUUUAUUAUACAAAAUUAAUUAUUUUUAUAAUAAAAAGUUAUUAAAUAAAAAUGAUUAUGUAUCAAUGUGUAAUUUGUUAAUAUAUUAUUAAUUAGUCUAUUACCUCCUUCAAAUUGAAAAAAAAAAAA
rnacentral:misc_RNA from 1 species